GACCCUCGCCGAAUUGAAAAUCCAUCGCGGUGUCUGAAGGAAAAAUACAUCCCCCCUCGAGUAUCGUCUCGAUAAUCUCGUUUGUCGUAAUUUUGAACAAUGCUAGAUAUAUUCGUUCUGGAAGAAGGAAUCUUGUAAUUUUGAACAAUGCCAUGUAACUUAAAUUUAUAUAAUUGAUGACAAAUGAUUAUUAAAUUGAUUUCUUAUGGAGGAAUUUUUUAUAGAUAUAUUCGUUCUGGAAGAAGGAAUCUUGUAAUUUUGAACAAUGCCAUAUAUAUUCGUUCUGGAAGAAGGAAUCUUAUAAUUUUGAACAAUGC